AAAUCAGCUCUUUUCAGAGCUACUAUAUAUUUACGAACAAGGAAUA
rfam:Dufourea novaeangliae contig2379, whole genome shotgun sequence.